UUAAGCGACUAAGCGUACACGGUGGAUGCCCUGGCAGUCAGAGGCGAUGAAGGACGUGCUAAUCUGCGAAAAGCGUCGGUAAGGUGAUAUGAACCGUUACAGCCGGCGAUGUCCGAAUGGGGAAACCCAGUGCAAUUCGUUGCACUAUCGUUAACUGAAUACAUAGGUUAACGAGGCGAACCGGGGGAACUGAAACAUCUAAGUACCCCGAGGAAAAGAAAUCAACCGAGAUUCCCCCAGUAGCGGCGAGCGAACGGGGAGCAGCCCAGAGUCUGAAUCAGCUUGUGUGUUAGUGGAACGGUCUGGAAAGUCCGACGGUACAGGGUGAUAGUCCCGUACACCAAAAUGCACAGGUUGUGAACUCGAAGAGUAGGGCGGGACACGUGGUAUCCUGUCUGAAUAUGGGGGGACCAUCCUCCAAGGCUAAAUACUCCUGACUGACCGAUAGUGAACCAGUACCGUGAGGGAAAGGCGAAAAGAACCCCGGCGAGGGGAGUGAAAAAGAACCUGAAACCGUGUACGUACAAGCAGUGGGAGCACCUUCGGGUGUGACUGCGUACCUUUUGUAUAAUGGGUCAGCGACUUAUAUUCUGUAGCAAGGUUAACCGUAUAGGGGAGCCGCAGGGAAACCGAGUCUUAACUGGGCGUUAAGUUGCAGGGUAUAGACCCGAAACCCGGUGAUCUAGCCAUGGGCAGGUUGAAGGUUGGGUAACACUAACUGGAGGACCGAACCGACUAAUGUUGAAAAAUUAGCGGAUGACUUGUGGCUGGGGGUGAAAGGCCAAUCAAACCGGGAGAUAGCUGGUUCUCCCCGAAAGCUAUUUAGGUAGCGCCUCGUGAACUCAUCUUCGGGGGUAGAGCACUGUUUCGGCUAGGGGGUCAUCCCGACUUACCAACCCGAUGCAAACUACGAAUACCGAAGAAUGUUAUCACGGGAGACACACGGCGGGUGCUAACGUCCGUCGUGAAGAGGGAAACAACCCAGACCGCCAGCUAAGGUCCCAAAGUCAUGGUUAAGUGGGAAACGAUGUGGGAAGGCACAGACAGCCAGGAUGUUGGCUUAGAAGCAGCCAUCAUUUAAAGAAAGCGUAAUAGCUCACUGGUCGAGUCGGCCUGCGCGGAAGAUGUAACGGGCUAAACCAUGCACCGAAGCUGCGGCAGCGACACUAUGUGUUGUUGGGUAGGGGAGCGUUCUGUAAGCCUGCGAAGGUGUGCUGUGAGGCAUGCUGGAGGUAUCAGAAGUGCGAAUGCUGACAUAAGUAACGAUAAAGCGGGUGAAAAGCCCGCUCGCCGGAAGACCAAGGGUUCCUGUCCAACGUUAAUCGGGGCAGGGUGAGUCGACCCCUAAGGCGAGGCCGAAAGGCGUAGUCGAUGGGAAACAGGUUAAUAUUCCUGUACUUGGUGUUACUGCGAAGGGGGGACGGAGAAGGCUAUGUUAGCCGGGCGACGGUUGUCCCGGUUUAAGCAUGUAGGCUGGUUAUCCAGGCAAAUCCGGAUAAUCAAGGCUGAGGUGUGAUGACGAGGCACUACGGUGCUGAAGUAACAAAUGCCCUGCUUCCAGGAAAAGCCUCUAAGCAUCAGGUAACAUCAAAUCGUACCCCAAACCGACACAGGUGGUCAGGUAGAGAAUACCAAGGCGCUUGAGAGAACUCGGGUGAAGGAACUAGGCAAAAUGGUGCCGUAACUUCGGGAGAAGGCACGCUGGUGUGUAGGUGAAGUCCCUGCGGAUGGAGCUGAGACCAGUCGAAGAUACCAGCUGGCUGCAACUGUUUAUUAAAAACACAGCACUGUGCAAACACGAAAGUGGACGUAUACGGUGUGACGCCUGCCCGGUGCCGGAAGGUUAAUUGAUGGGGUUAUCCGUAAGGAGAAGCUCUUGAUCGAAGCCCCGGUAAACGGCGGCCGUAACUAUAACGGUCCUAAGGUAGCGAAAUUCCUUGUCGGGUAAGUUCCGACCUGCACGAAUGGCGUAAUGAUGGCCAGGCUGUCUCCACCCGAGACUCAGUGAAAUUGAACUCGCUGUGAAGAUGCAGUGUACCCGCGGCAAGACGGAAAGACCCCGUGAACCUUUACUAUAGCUUGACACUGAACAUUGAGCCUUGAUGUAGGAUAGGUGGGAGGCUUUGAAGCGUGGACGCCAGUCUGCGUGGAGCCAACCUUGAAAUACCACCCUUUAAUGUUUGAUGUUCUAACGUUGGCCCCUGACCGGGGUUGCGGACAGUGUCUGGUGGGUAGUUUGACUGGGGCGGUCUCCUCCCAAAGCGUAACGGAGGAGCACGAAGGUUAGCUAAUCCUGGUCGGACAUCAGGAGGUUAGUGCAAUGGCAUAAGCUAGCUUGACUGCGAGCGUGACGGCGCGAGCAGGUGCGAAAGCAGGUCAUAGUGAUCCGGUGGUUCUGAAUGGAAGGGCCAUCGCUCAACGGAUAAAAGGUACUCCGGGGAUAACAGGCUGAUACCGCCCAAGAGUUCAUAUCGACGGCGGUGUUUGGCACCUCGAUGUCGGCUCAUCACAUCCUGGGGCUGAAGUAGGUCCCAAGGGUAUGGCUGUUCGCCAUUUAAAGUGGUACGCGAGCUGGGUUUAGAACGUCGUGAGACAGUUCGGUCCCUAUCUGCCGUGGGCGCUGGAGAAUUGAGGGGGGCUGCUCCUAGUACGAGAGGACCGGAGUGGACGCAUCACUGGUGUUCGGGUUGUCAUGCCAAUGGCACUGCCCGGUAGCUAAAUGCGGAAGAGAUAAGUGCUGAAAGCAUCUAAGCACGAAACUUGCCCCGAGAUGAGUUCUCCCUGAGACUAUAAGUCUCCUGAAGGAACGUUAAAGACGAUGACGUUGAUAGGCCGGGUGUGUAAGCGCAGCGAUGCGUUGAGCUAACCGGUACUAAUGAACCGUGAGGCUUAACCU
rnacentral:rRNA from 1 species